GACGAACGCUGGCGGCGUGCUUAAUACAUGCAAGUCGAACGGACAGGCCCUGAUUUUGCUGCGUGCUCGAGUGGCGAACGGGUGAGUAACACGUGUGUAACCUGUCCUUGUCUUUGGGAUAACUUUACGAAACACGGGCUCUUACAGGAUAGGAGCUCCUGCUGCAUGGUGGGGGUUGGUAAGUUUCGGCGGUUGGGGAUGGACUCGCGGCUUAUCAGCUUGUUUGUGGGGUAGUGGCUUACAAAGGCUAUGACGGGUAGCCGGCCUGAGAGGGUGACCGGCCACAUUGGGACUGAGAUACGGCCCAGACGCCUACGGGAGGCAGCAGUGGGGAAUAUUGCACAAUGGGCGGAAGCCUGAUGCAGCAACGCCGCGUGCGGGAUGACGGCCUUCGGGUUGUAAACCGCUUUCGCAUGUGACGAAGCAUGAGUGACGGUAAUGGGUAAAGAAGCACCGGCUAACUACGUG
rnacentral:rRNA from 1 species